GAUGAACGCUAGCGGCAGGCCUAAUACAUGCAAGUCGAGGGGCAGCGCGGUAGCAAUACUGGCGGCGACCGGCGCACGGGUGCGUAACACGUAUGCAACCUACCUUCAACUGGAGGAUAGCCCGGGGAAACUCGGAUUAAUACUCCAUAACACAGGGAUCCCGCAUGGGAAUAUUGGUAAAGCUACGGCGGUUGAAGAUGGGCAUGCGUUCGAUUAGCUAGUUGGUGUAGGUAACGGCUCACCAAGGCUACGAUCGAUAGGGGGUCUGAGAGGAUGAUCCCCACACUGGUACUGAGAUACGGACCAGACUCCUACGGGAGCAGCAGUAGGGAAUAUGGU
rnacentral:rRNA from 1 species